UCUUAUGCCCUGCUGUAUAAGUACUUGCCACUUCAAAUAACUUGAAAUCGUUUAAAGUCUGCUGCCAGCAAUCCAAUAUGAACCACCGACUUCAAUUACCUACUAAAUUGCAUUAGAGGCACAUUAGACGCGGCCCAAAUCAAAAGCGACAGCCCCUCGACAGCCACUAGAGGUGCCUGACCUGUGAUGGGCCUUGGGCACUCCCGUCAUAACUCCCAGAUGAAACAUAAGUUAUCGUACGAGUAUAUGAUUAGAGCACAGAGCCACCCAGCCCAGCCAGCCGGGCAGCCCGUCACUGAAGGGGGCAUUGCCCCGAGGAGGAGAGAAGAGAGCUAUCUACGUGCCAAGAUGUUUCGUAAUGCGUUCAUGUUCUGUUCUCCCAUUAAGCAGCACACUUACCCUCUGACCGUGCAACAAACUUUCAACAGGCAAACAUCAAACUCUCGACAUGUGCGCCCAUGAAAUCUGAUAUGCCACAACGGAAGAGAGCGAGAGAGAGAGGAAAGGUCCCGAGCCCUUAGAGCCAACCCCCUGCUCUCGAUCCAACGUGCUGCUAAUAGAAUAAUUCGUUAAUGUAACUACAAGAUACAAAGAUACGCAGAUAGACAAUAAUCCAUUGACAGCCACGAUUAUCAUUGGCUUUUUAUC